rnacentral:rRNA from 1 species
AGAGCGAACGCUGGCGGCAGGCCUAACACAUGCAAGUCGAGCGCCCCGCAAGGGGAGCGGCAGACGGGAGAGUAACACGUGGGAACGUACCCUUUGGUUCGGAACAACCCAGGGAAACUUGGGCUAAUACCGAAUAAGCCCUUACGGGGAAAGAUUUAUCGCCAAAGGAUCGGCCCGCGUCUGAUUAGCUAGUUGGUGAGGUAACGGCUCACCAAGGCGACGAUCAGUAGCUGGUCUGAGAGGAUGAUCAGCCUCACUGGGACUGAGACACGGCCCAGACUCCUACGGGAGGCAGCAGUGGGGAAUAUUGGACAAUGGGCGAAAGCCUGAUCCAGCCAUGCCGCGUGAGUGAUGAAGGCCUUAGGGUUGUAAAGCUCUUUUACCCGGGAAGAUAAUGACGGUACCGGAGAAUAAGCCCGGCUAACUUCGCGCCAGCAGCCGC